rnacentral:rRNA from 1 species
GACGAACGCUGGCGGCGUGCUUAACACAUGCAAGUCGAACGAUGAACCCGGAGCUUGCUCCGGCGGAUUAGUGGCGAACGGGUGAGUAACACGUGAGUAACCUUCCCUUAACUCUGGGAUAACUGCGGGAAACUGUAGCUAAUACCGGAUACGACCCUCGGCGGCAUCGCCAGGGGGUGGAAAGAAUUUCGGUCAAGGAUGGACUCGCGGCCGAUCAGCUAGUUUGUGAGGUAACGGCUCACCAAGGCGACGACGGGUAGCAGGCCUGAGAGGGUGACCGGCCACACUGGGACUGAGACACGGCCCAGACUCCUACGGGAGGCAGCAGUGGGGAAUAUUGCACAAUGGGCGCAAGCCUGAUGCAGCAACGCCGCGUGAGGGAUGACGGCCUUCGGGUUGUAAACCUCUUUUAGUAGGGAAGAAGCGAAAGUGACGGUACCUGCAGAAAAAGCACCGGCUAACUACGUGCCAGCAGCCGCAGUAA